rnacentral:tRNA from 1 species
ACCCUCGUCAAAGCUCAUUUUGCGAGGAUGGAGCAUCAGACUACGAAUCUGAGGGUCGGACGUUCGAAUCGUUCCGGGCGCACCA